GGCAGCAGCUAUAUCACCCUAAACCUGGCAGCCCCAAUGAAGCUCAGCAUGUGAGAGCCUGUCCAGUACCUGGAUGGGAGACCUCCUGGGAAAGCUGAGGCUGCUGCUG
rnacentral:rRNA from 1 species